rnacentral:tRNA from 1 species
GACCCUUUCGUCUAGCGGUUAGGACACGGCCCUUUCACGGCUGUAACACGGGUUCGAUUCCCGUAGGGGUCG